UGGGGAAUAUUGCACAAUGGGCGAAAGCCUGAUGCAGCAACGCCGCGUGAGUGAUGAAGGCCUUCGGGUUGUAAAGCUCUGUCUUCUGGGACGAUAAUGACGGUACCAGAGGAGGAAGCCACGGCUAACUACGUGCCAGCAGCCGCGGUAAUACGUAGGUGGCAAGCGUUGUCCGGAUUUACUGGGCGUAAAGGAUGCGUAGGCGGAUGCUUAAGUCAGAUGUGAAAUUCCCGGGCUUAACUUGGGAACUGCAUUUGAAACUGGGUAUCUAGAGUGCGGGAGAGGAAAGUGGAAUUCCUAGUGUAGCGGUGAAAUGCGUAGAGAUUAGGAAGAACACCAGUGGCGAAGGCGACUUUCUGGACCGUAACUGACGCUGAGGCAUGAAAGCGUGGGGAGCAAAC
rnacentral:rRNA from 1 species